GACGAACGCUGGCGGCGUGCUUAACACAUGCAAGUCGAACGCUGAAGCCCUUUCGGGGGUGGAUGAGUGGCGAACGGGUGAGUAACACGUGGGUAAUCUGCCCUGUACUUCGGGAUAAGCCUUGGAAACGGGGUCUAAUACCGGAUAGGACCUGUCCUCGCAUGGGGGUGGGUGGAAAGUUCCAGCGGUAUGGGAUGAGCCCGCGGCCUAUCAGCUUGUUGGUGGGGUAGUGGCCUACCAAGGCGACGACGGGUAGCCGGGCUGAGAGGGUGACCGGUCACACUGAGACUGAGACACGGCCCAGACUGCGACGGGAGGCAGCAGUGGGGAAUCUUGCGCGAUGGGCGAAAGCCUGACGCAGCAACGCCGCGUGGGGGAUGACGGCCUUCGGGUUGUAAACCUCUUUCGACAUCGACGAAGGGGCCCUGUUGUGGGGUUUUGACGGUAGGUGUAGAAGAAGCACCGGCUAACUACGUGCCAGCCGCCGCGGUAA
rnacentral:rRNA from 1 species